rnacentral:rRNA from 1 species
AGCAGCCGCGGUAAUUCCAGCUCCAAUAGCGUAUAUUAAAGUUGUUGCAGUUAAAAAGCUCGUAGUUGAAUUUCGGGAUCAAUAUAUCGGUCGUGCCUUCGGUACGUACUGGUAUCGUUGAUUUCUACCUUCUGACGAACCAUGAUGUCAUUAAUUUGGUGUCAUGGGAAAUCAGGACUGUUACUUUGAAAAAAUUAGAGUGUUUAGAGCAGGCACACGCUUGAAUACAUUAGCAUGGAAUAAUGAAAUAGGACGUUUGACCCUAUUUUGUUGGUUUCUAGGAUCGACGUAAUGAUUAAUAGGGAUAGUUGGGGGCAUUAGUAUUCAAUUGUCAGAGGUGAAAUUCUUGGAUUUAUUGAAGACUAACUACUGCGAAAGCAUUUGCCAAGGAUGUUUUCAUUAAUCAAGAACGAAAGUUAGGGGAUCGAAGACGAUCAGAUACCGUCGUAGUCUUAACCAUAAACUAUACCGACUAGGGAUCGGAUGAUGUUAAUUUUUUAAUGACUCAUUCGGCGUCCG